UACGAAGGUGGCAAGCGUUACUCGGAAUUACUAGGCGUAAAGCGCAGGUAGGCGGUUCGAUAAGUCUUUUGUGAAAGCUCCCGGCUUAACUGGGAGAGGUCAAAGGAAACUGUCGAACUAGAGUGUGGUAGAGGAUACUGGAAUUCCCGGUGUAGCGGUGAAAUGCGUAGAUAUCGGGAGGAAUACCUAUGGCGAAAGCAGGUAUCUGGGCCAUCACUGACGCUGAGCUGCGAAAGCUAGGGGAGCAAACAGG
rnacentral:rRNA from 1 species